rnacentral:rRNA from 1 species
UACGAAGGGUGCAAGCGUUACUCGGAAUUACUGGGCGUAAAGCGUGCGCAGGCGGCUUUGCAAGACAGAUGUGAAAUCCCCGGGCUUAACCUGGGAACUGCAUUUGUGACUGCAUGGCUGGAGUGCGGCAGAGGGGGAUGGAAUUCCGCGUGUAGCAGUGAAAUGCGUAGAGAUCGGGAGGAACACCAGUGGCGAAGGCGGCUACCUGGACCAGCACUGACACUGAGGCACGAAAGCGUGGGGAGC